rnacentral:lncRNA from 1 species
UUUUUUUUUUUUUCAAGUAUUCAGUUUUGUGUCGCACUUAUAUAUAUUUUUAAUUUUUUAAUUUUUUUUUGAGAUGAUCUUUUAUUUAGAAUUUGUAUGUUAGUUUAAUUUUGUAAUCUAAUUAUGGUAUAUAAUUAUUUUUUAUCAUCUAAUUUCACUUUUUAUUAGUUUUUUUUUAAACCUUCACUUUUUAUUAGUUAGUAAUUCAUUAUCAUGAUUGAUAGUAU